AGUGAACGCUGGCGGUAGGCCUAACACAUGCAAGUCGAACGGCAGCACAGUAAGAGCUUGCUCUUACGGGUGGCGAGUGGCGGACGGGUGAGGAAUACAUCGGAAUCUACUUUUUCGUGGGGGAUAACGUAGGGAAACUUACGCUAAUACCGCAUACGACCUACGGGUGAAAGCAGGGGAUCUUCGGACCUUGUGCGAUUGAAUGAGCCGAUGUCGGAUUAGCUAGUUGGCGGGGUAAAGGCCCACCAAGGCGACGAUACGUAGCUGGUCUGUGAGGAUGGUCAGCCACACUGGAGCUUAGACACAGUCCAGACUCCUACGGGAGGCAGCAGUGGGGAAUAUUGGACAGAGGGCGGAAGCCUGAUCCAGCCAUACCGCGUGGGUGAAGGAGGCCUUCCGGUUGUAAAGCCCUUUUGUUGGGAAAGAAAAGCAGCAGGUUAAUACCCCGCUGUUCUGACGGUACCCAAAGAAUAAGCACCGGCUAACUUCGUG
rnacentral:rRNA from 1 species